UUAGGCUGCGGCGCAAAUGUCACCAACUUCGUGAGGAAUGUGGGCGUUUGUGGCCGGGGGCGGGGCUGUCUGAGACCAAAGAACAGAGCGAAAUAAGCUCCGAACUGCCCAGACGCGCGCGGAGGGGAUGCCGGACUCUGUCGGGGGUUGACGAGAUCGGCGGGCCUCCGGGACUGGCCGCAGGUACCACAACUCCGCGGCUCAAGCGCGGAGCUUGAGGAAUCCGGGAAACGCCGCUGAGGGCCCAGGAGACACGGGUUCGAUCCCAGACCUGGGAAGAUCCCACAUGCUGCAGAGCAACGAAGCCCUGGGCAACAGCUCCUGAGUCUGUGCUUUAGAGCUCGGGAGCUGCAACUGCUGAGCCCACACGCCGCAGAGGCUGUGCUCACCAACAAGAGAAGCCACCACAAGGAGAA